UUUGCUGUAUACGGCGGAAACACAUGAUUUUGGUUGUGAUACCUGUACAAUUUUCUUGGUUGUUUUUCCUAAUAGAUUCAUUUUCAAUACCCUACAGGACUUGAAUACAUGCACUUUAGUAAAUGAUUUUUCAUUUCUAGCAGUAUAUGACGACAUCCACGCACCAGAUAAUAUAUUUAAAGUAUCAAAUAUUUUGACAUUUGCCUAACCAAUUUCAACAACAUCCGGGCAAUUUAUAGGUGGCGCUUGUAGUUUGUCAAUAGACAAUGACUUUUUGCGGGAAAAAUGAAAAUCAUUUUUCUGAUGAAAAGUAUUUUUAAAAUGAUUUUAUUUGAUUUGCCACACAUAAUUAAUGUAUUGUUUAAGAUAAUUUAAUAGAUGUGAUAUAUUAAGGCUAUACAGAAAAGUUUCGAUUGAUCAGCUUACAGAGCUACCCAUAUUUACAGUGACAUCCAGGUCUGCAGGCUUCAUGACAUCAUAACUGACAGAAGCUACAUAGAUGUGUCUACUUAUUUAAAAAAGAACAACACCUGAAAUUAUGACAUUCGAAUCAACAUAAAUAUUUGAAGAUUAAAUGGACAAUGAACAUGUUUCCCCUUUCUAUGAUUACCUGGCAGGUGCCAUAGCAGGUAAAAAUAUGUAUUCUUAUUGUAACCAGCUGUGUUAUUCAAAAUUUUGAAUUUUUAUGUAAUAAUACUGAACUUAAAAAUAUAUCAUCACUAAAACUUUAUAUGUUUGAUUAUAUCCUCAGAAGUAUUAAAAAAAAUGGUCCAAGAUCUAACAUGAACUGAGUGUAUAGUGGUAUAUUAAUUACAUCACUUUGAAUUAAUGAAUUCAUUAACCCACAGCAUUAUUGACGAACUGAAAAUUAUUUAUUAUUUAAUAUUUUGAGCUGUAUAUGAUUUCUCUGAAUUCACUAAAAGAAGCUGUAUAAUAACAUUUUAAGGAAUAAGGAAUCAUAUUCUAUGAGUAUUAUGAGGUCUAGUAUCACAUUGACAAAGACACUUGAAAAUGUAAAUAUUUAUAAAUGAAAUGUUCGUCAAAGCCUUACUGUCUUAUGAUCAUUAUGUCUCAGAGAAACAGUCAGGAAAGUUAUUUAAUUGUUUCAUUAGAUCUGAAAUUUAUGAAUGUUACAAUAUUGAAUAAGUCAAUCUUCUCUCGUUUUUUAUUUUUUUUAAUAAGUUGACUUUAAUUGUACUAUUUACAGGGAAAAUUCGCCCCUUUUGCCCUUGUUAUCACUGGCAAAUUUAAGACUUAGCAAUUUAAAUUUAUCUUUUUAUCUCUCGUUUAUUACAACUGUCUGGGCAAAUUCAAGACAGGUCGAAACUAUUUGCAAGUGAAGAAAUGCAAAAUUGACACAGGGCAAAAAUAACCCUUGAUGCAGUAAAUUAAUGUUUAGAAAAAGAUAUUAAGUUGACUCUUGGAAUUUUUUUUUCAAGUAGAUAAGUUGACUUAUAAAUGUUCAUAAGUGGCUGAUACAUUGACUAAUGAAUGAUAUUUUGAUUGAUAGAUAUUCAUAAAAUAAAAUGAAUGAGAUGUUGACUGAUAGAUACAUGUGUAUUCAUAAAUGAGUGAUAUGUUUACAAAUGGAUGAUGAGUUGACUUAAGGAUGUUCCCUCUGACAGGUUCUGUGGGCGUGGUCACAGGGCAUCCAUUCGACACAGUGAAGGUUGGACAUUUCAGAUAAACUCAAUCACAUGUACCUGUAGAGUAUUCAUUGUUGCAAUGAUACAGUAUUUUAUGUGGACUAACUUGAUAUGAUUUAGAACAAAUCCUAGAUCCAGUUAUGUGCAAAAAUACAUGUUUUGUGAAAUAGGUUUAUUUCCAUACCAUUUUAAUCAAUAUUAUUCUUACAUAGUUCAUAUACCGGUAGAAAUAAAAAAAGAAGUUUUUCAAAAGACAUUCUGCAUCAUAUUAAUAUGUGAGUGCUUUAUAUUUUCUGUGUAGGUUCAGCUCCAAAUCCGACAAGCAAAUUUGGAAGUUGUGUCCCUUAGAGAAUGCUUCCAGGCAGUGAAAAAUCAGAAUUUGGCCAAAGGAUUUUUCCGUGGUCUGUCAUGGCCCAUGCUUUCCUAUGGAGCGAUCAACUCGGUGUUCUUUGGUGUUUAUGGCAGCACCAUGAAGUACCUAGACGCUGAUAUAUCAGGGAGGACUCCUCCGGACUACGCCAAAAUCUGCAUGGCUGGAGGGCUGGGUGGGACAUGUCAGCUGGUCCUAGCAGUGCCCAUUGAUGUGAUAAAGGUGGUGCUGCAGUCCCAGAUACCCCAUGGAACCACCAAAUACCAAGGGAAGUACUAUAAAGGACCAAUAGAGGGAACACGUGACAUCCUUAGGAGUCGCGGGUUGGUUGGAAUGUACAGGGGUCUUCCCACCCAGGCUCUCCGAGAUAUCCCAGCUUCUAUCGCCUACUUCCUCAUCUACGAAUUCCUCAUUUAUCAUGGAGUGAAGAACUUCCCAAACAUAUCAUCCACAUUGCAGAGUUUUGUUUUUGGUGGAGUGGCGGGGGUUGUAAGUUGGGCUCUAAUAAUGCCAUUUGAUGUCAUGAAGAGUCGGAUUCAAGCUGACAGUGACAGGAAGCUGUACUCGGGAUUCUGGGAUUGUGUGGUGAAGAGUUACCGGUCAAAUGGAAUAAAGAUAUUUUUCCGCGGACUUUCAAUGACCAGCUUAAGGGCUUUCCCUGUAAAUGGCAUGACCUUAAUGACACAUAUGGAACUUCUGAAGUUAUUUGGAGAGAAAAAACACCAGCAGUAAUACAAAGAUUAAUUGUUGACGAAUUUCUAUUUUUGUAUAACAUAACAAUUUGAAAUCCAUUGUUGACCACACUAUCUCUUCCAAAUUCUAGAAGUGUGAUAUCUAUUAUCUAAAAUUGGAGUAUUUGUUAUAUUUGCUCUGGUUUCAAGAUUGUGUUAGGUUUUACUUUCUUUUAGCUCUCAGGUAGCAGAUAAAUUUGACUCUACAUAUUUUGAAAUCCAUUGCUGCACACAAAAUAAUCACUUAAUAUACCAAGAAGUGUGACUUAUCUUGAAUUUUAUAUUCAAUAAAAAAGGCAGC
rnacentral:misc_RNA from 1 species